UACAGAGGUCUCAAGCGUUGUUCGGAUUCAUUGGGCGUAAAGGGUGUGUAGGUGGCGCCGGUAAGUCGGGUGUGAAAUUCGUGGACUUAACUCCGAAACUGCAUUCGAUACUGCGGUGCUUGAGGACUGGAGAGGAGACUGGAAUUUACGGUGUAGCGGUGAAAUGCGUAGAUAUCGUAAGGAAGACCAGUGGCGAAGGCGGGUCUCUGGACAGUUCCUGACAGCUGAGCACGA
rnacentral:rRNA from 1 species